rnacentral:tRNA from 1 species
GAAUAUAGCUCAGUUGGUAGAGUGCUUGCCUUGCAUGCGUACACAAGGCCCUGGGUUCAAUCCUCAGCAACA